rnacentral:tRNA from 2 species
AGUAGAAUGGCUGAGGUAAUAUUAGGUUAUAGAUUGUAAAUCUAUUUAGGGGAUAAUUUCUCUUCUACUA